rnacentral:rRNA from 1 species
AGUCUGGUGCCAGCAGCCGCGGUAAUUCCAGCUCCAGUAGCGUAUAUUAAAGUUGCUGCAGUUAAAAAGCUCGUAGUUGGAUUUCUGAUUAUAUGAACCUGAUCCGCCCCGUUUAGGUGUGUGAGUAUUGGUGUUUGUUAAUCAUCCUUGAAGUACAUGUAUCUACCCUUUAUUGGGCCGGGUAUUUUGAACUUCAUCAUUUACUUUGAAAAAAUUAGAGUGUUCAAAGCAGGCAUUUUCGCUGUGAAUACAUUAGCAUGGAAUAAUAAGAUAGGACUUUGGUGCUAUUUUGUUGGUUUUCAGUACUGAAGUAAUGAUUGAUAGGAUAAGUUGGGGGUGCUAGUAUUCAAUGGCCAGAGGUGAAAUUCUUGGAUUCAUUGAAGACUAACUGAUGCGAAAGCGUUCGCCAAGUCUUUUUCCUUUAAUCAAGAACGAAAGUAGAGGGAUCGAAGAUGAUCAGAUACCGUCGUAGUCUCUACCAUAAACUAUGCCGACUAGGGAUAAGUGCUCGUCUUUUAUAGACAGCAUUUGCACCUUAGGAGAAAUCAAAGUGUUUGGGUUCUGGGGGGAGUAUGGUCGCAAGGCUGGAACUUAAAGGAAUUGACGGAAGGGCACCACCAGGCGUGGAACUUGCGGCUUAAUUUGACACAACACGGGAAAACUUACCAGGUCCAGACAUAAUAAGGAUUGACAGAUUGAAGAUCUUUCUUGAUUUUAUGGUUGGUGGUGCAUGGCCGUUCUUAGUUGGUGGAGUGAUUUGUCUGGUUAAUUCCGUUAACGAACGAGACCUCGACUUACUAAAUAGUUUGCAUCACGCUUCGGCGUGGUGACAGACUUCUUAGAAGGACUAUUGGCGCGUAGCCAGUGGAAGUUCGAGGCAAUAACAGGUCUGUGAUGCCCUUAGAUGUUCUGGGCUGCACGCGUGUUACACUGAUACAUUCAACAAGUUUACCACCUCGACUGAGAAGUCCGGGUAAUCUUUGAAAUUGUAUCGUGCUGGGGAUAGAUGAUUGCAAUUAUUCAUCUUCAACGAGGAAUGCCUAGUAAACGCAAGUCAUCAACUUGCAUUGAAUACGUUACUGCCCUUUGUACACACCGCCCGUCGCUACUACCGAUUGAAUGGUUUAGUGAGUAACACGGAUUAGUGAUUGUGUUUCAUUUCGGUGAGACCAAUCAUUGAGAAGUGGC